UUCUAGGAAAUUAUACAAAUAACUAUCUGACAUUGGUGUCACUCCUUUGUGAACUAGAGAAUCAGACGGAUGCAAAAAUUAAAUAAAAAAGUUAAUAAGUGACCAAGAAGAAAAACUGACAAUUUCCAAUACGGACUCGUAAUUUCUACGUUGUGUAAGUUAUAUAUCAUAUUUAAUUACUAUAAUUUGUACAACUGGAGGAGUGACAACAAUGAGGCCAUUCCUUGAGAAUUUCUUCCCAUCAAUACUGAAGAACACAACAUCUGGUACUUUUAUCUUUUGAUGAUGAUUGGCUAAUAUAUAUCCCCACCUUAUUAAUGUUGGUGAAUAUACCACAAAUUAUUACGGUUGAAAAUUACAAUAAAAUGAACAAAAUGAAUAAGUAAAUGUUCUUUAGGCUGAGGCGCGGAUAUCUCACUCUCUUUAAGGAGAUUCAAGCCUACUGCAGCAAAUCUACCGGUCCAGCAGUAAUCUGUCUGACCUGUCCCUUCCAGGAUACAACAGCCCGACCACGUCGUAUAACUCAACAAACUCUGGACAAGAUGUUGAG